GGACAGGUGGCAGAGUGGUCGAAUGUACCUGACUCGAAAUCAGGCGUACGUGAUAAGCGUACCGUGGGUUCGAAUCCCACCCUGUCCG
rnacentral:tRNA from 1 species